GCUCAGAUGAAACGCUGACGGCAUGCCUUACACAUGCAAGUCGAACGCGAAAAGGGGGCAACCCCUUAGUAGAGUGGCGAACGGGUGAGUAAUACAUCGGAACGUACCCCGUAGCGGGGGAUAACCUCUCGAAAGAGAGGCUAAUACCGCAUACGACCUACGGGUGAAAGAGGGGGAUCGCAAGACCUCUCACUAUUGGAGCGGCCGAUGUCGGAUUAACUAGUUGGUGGGGUAAAAGCCUACCAAGGCGACGAUCCGUAGCUGGUCUGAGAGGACGGCCAGCCACACUGGAACUGAGACACGGUCCAGACUCCUACGGGAGGCAGCAGUGGGGAAUUUUGGACAAUGGGCGAAAGCCUGAUCCAGCCAUGCCGCGUGAGUGAAGAAGGCCUUCGGGUUGUAAAGCUCUUUCGGCUGGGACGAAAAGGUCCGUGCUAACACCACGGAUCCAUGACGGUACCAGCAGAAGAAGCACCGGCUAACUACGUGCCAGCAGCCGCGGUAAUACGUAGGGUGCAGGCGUUAAUCGGAAUUACUGGGCGUAAAGCGUGCGCAGGCGGUUUGCUAAGACAGGUGUGAAAUCCCCGGGCUUAACCUGGGAACUGCGCUUGUAACUGGCAAGCUGGAGUGUGGCAGAGGGGGGUGGAAUUCCACGUGUAGCAGUGAAAUGCGUAGAGAUGUGGAGGAACACCGAUGGCGAAGGCAGCCCCCUGGGCUAACACUGACGCUCAUGCACGAAAGCGUGGGGAGCAAACAGGAUUAGAUACCCUGGUAGUCCACGCCCUAAACUAUGUCAACUGGUUGUCGGGGAAGCAAUUCCUUGGUAACGAAGCUAACGCGUGAAGUUGACCGCCUGGGGAGUA
rnacentral:rRNA from 1 species